rnacentral:snRNA from 1 species
GGAUAUAAGGGUGAUCUGGCUAGACAUCUGUCACUCUAUUGAUGACUAGGGUUGAUUCAGCUGACCUGUUUGGAAACUGACCCCUUCCUCCCUCAAUGCUCCAUGUAUAUCCCUCCCCAAAGCUGAGCACUCAGUGAAUAGGGUGAUCAUCCUUGAUAGAGGAGGACUGAUCUUCAGUCAAUGGUAUACAAGUAGCUGCACCCCUUCCCCUGAUAGAGCCUCCAAACUCUUAUGGAUACAGUCAUUUAAUAUAAUUUCAGAUUUGUCUCAGCAUGUUAUAGAUAGCUUUU